GGUUAAGCGAAUGAAGCGUACACGGUGGAUGCCUAGGCAGUCAGAGGCGAUGAAGGACGUGCUAAUCUGCGAAAAGCGUCGGUAAGCUGAUAUGAAGCGUUAUAGCCGGCGAUGUCCGAAUGGGGAAACCCAGUGCAUUAAUGCACUAUCGUUUGAUGAAUUCAUAGUCAAACGAGGCGAACCGGGGGAACUGAAACAUCUCAGUACCCCGAGGAAAAGAAAUCAACCGAGAUUCCCCUAGUAGCGGCGAGCGAACGGGGAGUAGCCCAGAGUCAGCAUCGAUAUUAGCAUCAGGAGAAGGGUCUGGAAAGGCCAGCCAUAAAGGGUGAUAGCCCCGUAUCCGAAGGUGUUAGUAUCGUGAGCUCGAAGAGUAGGGCGGGACACGUGUUAUCCUGUCUGAAUAAGGGGGGACCAUCCUCCAAGGCUAAAUACUCCUGACUGACCGAUAGUGAACCAGUACCGUGAGGGAAAGGCGAAAAGAACCCCGGCGAGGGGAGUGAAAGAGAACCUGAAACCGUGUACGUACAAGCAGUGGGAGCCCCACCACCAAAGUAUUUCUGCAAGCGGUUUGACGGUUGGCGGCGCACAGCGACGCCCAACCCAUCCAAUCAAGCAGGGUGAAUACCAUCGAAUCAAGGCGCGAGGUUCAGGCCAAAUCAGGUAAAACCUGAAUCCGGUUGAAUCAAGCAAAUUGACGAAGAUGAGAGGGAUUGCCGAAGGCAAUCGCCGCAAAGUACGGAGUACUUUGGGGUGGGGUGACUGCGUACCUUUUGUAUAAUGGGUCAGCGACUUAUAUUCUGUAGCAAGGUUAACCGCAUAGGGGAGCCGUAGGGAAACCGAGUCUUAACUGGGCGUCAAGUUGCAGGGUAUAGACCCGAAACCCGGUGAUCUAGCCAUGGGCAGGUUGAAGGUUGGGUAACACUAACUGGAGGGCCGAACCGACUAAUGUUGAAAAAUUAGCGGAUGACUUGUGGCUGGGGGUGAAAGGCCAAUCAAACCGGGAGAUAGCUGGUUCUCCCCGAAAGCUAUUUAGGUAGCGCCUCGUGAACUCAUCUUCGGGGGUAGAGCACUGUUUCGGCUAGGGGGUCAUCCCGACUUACCAACCCGAUGCAAACUCCGAAUACCGAAGAAUGUAAUCACGGGAGACACACGGCGGGUGCUAACGUCCGUCGUGAAGAGGGAAACAACCCAGACCGCCAGCUAAGGUCCCCAAGUCAUGGUUAAGUGGGAAACGAAGUGGGAAGGCUUAGACAGCCAGGAUGUUGGCUUAGAAGCAGCCAUCAUUUAAAGAAAGCGUAAUAGCUCACUGGUCGAGUCGGCCUGCGCGGAAGAUGUAACGGGGCUAAACCAUGCACCGAAGCUGCGGCAGCAACAGCAAUGUUGUUGGGUAGGGGAGCGUUCUGUAAGCCGUUGAAGGUGGAUUGAGAGGUCUGCUGGAGGUAUCAGAAGUGCGAAUGCUGACAUAAGUAACGAUAAAGCGGGUGAAAAACCCGCUCGCCGAAAGACCAAGGGUUCCUGUCCAACGUUAAUCGGGGCAGGGUAAGUCGACCCCUAAGGCGAGGCUGAAAAGCAUAGUCGAUGGGAAACGGGUUAAUAUUCCCGUACUAAGGGUUACUGCGAAGUGGGGACGGAGAAGGCUAGGCUAUCCGGGCGACGGUUGUCCCGGUUUAAGCGUGUAGGUGGGUCGUGCAGGCAAAUCCGUACGACUAUAACACUGAGGCGUGAUGACGAGCCACCAAGGUGGUGAAGUAGUUGAUACCCAGCUUCCAGGAAAAGCCGCUAAGCGAUAGGUAAUCAUUAAUCGUACCCCAAACCGACACAGGUGGUUAGGUAGAGAAUACUCAGGCGCUUGAGAGAACUCGGGUGAAGGAACUAGGCAAAAUGGUGCCGUAACUUCGGGAGAAGGCACGCUGGCGUUAGGUGAAAUGGUUAACCCAUGGAGCUGAAGCCAGUCGCAGAUACCAGCUGGCUGCAACUGUUUAUUAAAAACACAGCACUGUGCAAACACGAAAGUGGACGUAUACGGUGUGACGCCUGCCCGGUGCUGGAAGGUUAAUUGAUGGGGUAAGCCGUAAGGCGAAGCUCUUGAUCGAAGCCCCAGUAAACGGCGGCCGUAACUAUAACGGUCCUAAGGUAGCGAAAUUCCUUGUCGGGUAAGUUCCGACCUGCACGAAUGGCGUAAUGAUGGCCAGGCUGUCUCCACCCGAGACUCAGUGAAAUUGAACUCGCUGUGAAGAUGCAGUGUACCCGCGGCAAGACGGAAAGACCCCGUGAACCUUUACUAUAGCUUGACACUGAACAUUGAGCCUUGAUGUGUAGGAUAGGUGGGAGGCUAGGAAGUGUGGACGCCAGUCUGCAUGGAGCCAACGUUGAAAUACCACCCUUUAAUGUUUGAUGUUCUAACUUAGGCCCGUUAUCCGGGCUGAGGACAGUGUCUGGUGGGUAGUUUGACUGGGGCGGUCUCCUCCCAAAGUGUAACGGAGGAGCACGAAGGUUGGCUAAUCACGGUCGGACAUCGUGAGGUUAGUGCAAAGGCAUAAGCCAGCUUGACUGCGAGCGUGACGGCGCGAGCAGGUACGAAAGUAGGUCUUAGUGAUCCGGUGGUUCUGAAUGGAAGGGCCAUCGCUCAACGGAUAAAAGGUACUCCGGGGAUAACAGGCUGAUACCGCCCAAGAGUUCAUAUCGACGGCGGUGUUUGGCACCUCGAUGUCGGCUCAUCACAUCCUGGGGCUGAAGUAGGUCCCAAGGGUAUGGCUGUUCGCCAUUUAAAGUGGUACGCGAGCUGGGUUUAGAACGUCGUGAGACAGUUCGGUCCCUAUCUGUCGUGGGCGAAGGAAGAUUGAGGGGGGCUGCUCCUAGUACGAGAGGACCGGAGUGGACGCACCACUGGUGUACAGGUUGUCAUGCCAAUGGCAUCGCCUGGUAGCUAAGUGCGGAAGAGAUAACCGCUGAAAGCAUCUAAGCGGGAAACUUGCCUCAAGAUGAGUCUUCCCUGACAGUAAUGUCCUAUAAGGGGUGUUCGAGACGAGGACGUAGAUAGGCUGGGUGUGUAAGCGUAGCGAUACGUUGAGCUAACCAGUACUAAUGACCCGAGAGGCUUAACCUG
rnacentral:rRNA from 1 species